AUUUAAUCACACUCAGAACUAGCUCUGACACUAAUAUCCAGUAAACCAUGUUCUAGCUUUCAGAGUGGAAUGUGUUUCCUUCCCUGUAGGAGCAGGCAGUGCCGGGGAAACCUGUUUGUGUCUGAAAUCCUCUCCACUCAUGGAAAGGUCAACAAGUGCUUGGAAAAUCAAACUGCAUGGUCAUAUUCUUCAUUUUGCUAAUGUGGAAGCUCGGGAAUGCAAGGGUUACACAGUUGGUUCAAACGUAAUACUGAAAUACCCACACAUCUUCAGACCUGUAUUGUCUCUUGAAGCAGCCAUAUUGUUGAGAAUUUAUGGGAGAGAAGAGUUCCUGUCACAUCCAGAGGACAUUAUUUCCCAGUGGUCUUCCCAGUCCUCUGGCUCUUAAAAAUCUUCUCAUGCUUUCUUCUAUGAUGUUUCCUGAGUAUUCUGUGUAGAGGUUGUGUUAUGGAUAACAUAGUUGUGAAUUGGGUACUCCAUUUACAUGUAUCUGUAUUAUUCUGUGUAAUAACCUCUGACUGCUGCAGGAAGAAACAUCCUUGAUAUAUUGUGAGAGCUAAGCUUUAAGGAUACAAAGAAGAGUAUUUAGAAGGCAUUUGGGUACUGUAUCAAUUUAGUAAAAUGGUAGUAGCACUUUCCUUUCUAGGGUAUGUGAACUUUUCAGUGUUUGGCUAGGUUUUAUAGUACCAGGCAUAGGUUCCCACCUGUUGAGUGGGAAAUGUUGCAGUCUGAUCAGACGGAUGUUGACGGCAACAAAAAUAUUACUAUCAACAAUGUAACAUUGUCAGGCUGGCCGUAAUUGCAUUUCUUAAAAUUUACACUUGGUUAGGACUUUUGAUACUAUUUCUCCCCUGGUAAUUUACACAGUGCCUUCUGACACUGUGAAAUUCGUCAUCAAGGAGUAAGUUUCCUUCAAGUCAAUCCAACUUGACUUCUAUAGGUCCUACGACAAAAGUUUUUGGUGCCUUCAUUAAUAUGGGCUCACUCUCAAGUUCUGGAAAGCAAUGGUAAUAAUAUGUAAUAUUUAGUGGGCUCUUGUAUUUUCCUGACCAAAUACUUGCAGGUGAGUAUCCUUCAUCUGGUCUUCUGCUUUUUGUUUAAUAGUCUAUGGUGUCUUGGAAAAGCAUUGUUGUGGGGUGAGCUUGCUAUUCCUUCACAGCACGUCUACUGCUAGGACAAAGUGUCCCCAGCCCCUUUUCCCUAAUUUCUGUUGGUGCUGUCUUCUUUUUCUCCAGCUCCAUGGAGAGUCUCUGCAUUUUGAAAUCACUAUUUUUCAUUAUUUAUUCAUUGGCUUCUUAAUAAUCAUGCAAUUAUAUUUCUUUCCAGUUUCCUCUGUUUGAAAUGUUUAUUAUAGUUUAAUUUUCCUGUGUGUGGACUUGACCAAUUCAGCUUCACACAUGGUUCUCAUUCUUAGAAUUCCUCUUACAAACACAUAUUGUUACUGCAUCUUCACACAUAGAAUCAAAAGUUUCUGGUCUGGGAACAUAGGUCUCCAGUAGAGUCCAUGCUUAGCAUGAAUGAGCUAGGUCCAGUAUUUAAUUACCAGUCAGUACCAACAAUACAAAAAGUUUCAAAUAAGUCACAGUACCUAUUUUCCUGCAUCAGUGAUGGGCUUUUGUACUGUUUAUGACAGUUUUUAUAAUAUGCUCAUUCCUAGAAUAUUAGUUGACAUUUUCACAUUAUGCAGUCAAGGACUUAUUCAUUCAAGGCUGUAUAUCUCCCUUAAAUUGUCCUCUUCAAAGGUCUCUUCUUGUCCUAAAUUGCUUCAACAUCCUGAAUCAUUUUCUUUUAAGUUUUAUCAGUGGCAGCUAGUCAACCUUUCACUCUUUGAAAGAAUGUGUGUGUUUAAGGAAUAGAUGAUGUACCUAGGUCUUCAGAAUAAAAUAAUCAUAUUAAACUUGAAAACAUUAUUGGAAUUAAACAUAUGAUAUGACUACAAAGUGGUAAAACUGCAUUCCUGUGAGAUGCAUAACGUGACUUGGAAUUAAUACAUGGAGUGGCAGUUUAAUAGCUAAAUGUGAAGUAGAAUAACUGGAUUAAAAAGAUCUUUCUUUAAGAAGAGUCUGU
rnacentral:lncRNA from 1 species